rnacentral:rRNA from 1 species
UACGUAGGUGGCAAGCGUUGUCCGGUAUUAUUGGGCGUAAAGCGCGCGCAGGCGGCCUUUUAAGUCUGAUGUGAAAGCCCACGGCUCAACCGUGGAAGGUCAUUGGAAACUGAAAGGCUUGAGUACAGAAGAGGAAAGCGGAAUUCCACGUGUAGCGGUGAAAUGCGUAGAGAUGUGGAGGAACACCAGUGGCGAAGGCGGCUUUCUGGUCUGUAACUGACGCUGAGGCGCGAAAGCGUGGGGAGCAAACAGG